rnacentral:rRNA from 2 species
CCUGGUAGUCCACACGGUAAACGAUGAAUACUCGCUGUUUGCGAUAUACAGCAAGCGGCCAAGCGAAAGCGUUAAGUAUUCCACCUGGGGAGUACGCCGGCAACGGUGAAACUCAAAGGAAUUGACGGGGGCCCGCACAAGCGGAGGAACAUGUGGUUUAAUUCGAUGAUACGCGAGGAACCUUACCCGGGCUUAAAUUGCAGAUGAAUUACGGUGAAAGCCGUAAGCCGCAAGGCAUCUGUGAAGGUGCUGCAUGGUUGUCGUCAGCUCGUGCCGUGAGGUGUCGGCUUAAGUGCCAUAACGAGCGCAACCCUUGUUGUCAGUUACUAACAGGUUCCGCUGAGGACUCUGACAAGACUGCCAUCGUAAGAUGUGAGGAAGGUGGGGAUGACGUCAAAUCAGCACGGCCCUUACGUCCGGGGCUACACACGUGUUACAAUGGGGGGUACAGAGGGCCGCUACCACGCGAGUGGAUGCCAAUCCCAAAAACCUCUCUCAGUUCGGACUGGAGUCUGCAACCCGACUCCACGAAGCUGGAUUCGCUAGUAAUCGCGCAUCAGCCACGGCGCGGUGAAUACGUUCCCGGGCCUUGUACACACCGCCCGUCAAGCCAUGGGAGCCGGGGGUACCUGAAGUGCGUAACCGCGAGGAGCGCCCUAGGGUAAAACUGGUGACUGGGGCUAAGUCGUAACAAGGUAGCCGUACCGGAAGGUGCGGCUGGAACACCUCCUUUCUGGAG